rfam:Triticum aestivum genome assembly, contig: Triticum_aestivum_CS42_TGACv1_scaffold_578663_7BL
AAAGUACUCCCUCCGUCCCAAAAUUCUUGUCUUAGAUUUGUCUAGAUACGGAUGUAUCAAGUCACAUUUUAGUAUUAGAUACACCCGUAUCUAGACAAAUCUAAGACAAGAAAUUUCAGACAGAGGGAGUAGUUG